ACAUCCUGCACUAUGAUGAGAAACAUGGACAUGGAGAGAGAGAGUGAAGCAAGACUUCAAGGAUGGCAUUGCUGCCCCGGAGAACCAGCUCCUUCAGAAAUGAGUGUUUUGCUUUACAGUGAUGUAAACACAAAGGAAAUUACCAAUGGUUUGUUCAAAAGACUUCCCUCGGGAGAGGUAAACCCAGAUCAACAAUUAACACUUCACUACAAAUGCAGACAUGUAUGUGAUUAAAUGUAGCUGCUUUCAUUGUGUGAGUAUUCAAACAGAGAAUGAGGGAUUUUGUUUUCAUCAGAUGAAAGUUUGGUCUUCUUCAGAUUGUUUUACAGUGAGCAGUAUGUACCUGGUCUGCUGUGCUGGAAGGGUGUGUUAUCAGAGCGACAGGUGAGGGAAUGGCUGGAUGAGAUCCGGGAACCCUGCCAAAAUCCAGAUCCUACACACGUCACCGGUUUUCCUCUGAAGGGGACUUUUUAGUUGUCAAUAGCUUGAGGUCAGAGGUCAGUAAAAGUAAGCUAUGGAGAAUGUUCUCUGAACAUUGUGCUAUUUAUAUCUUCAAGCAUUCAAAUCUGAUUUUUCAAAUAUGUUUGUUUUUUUCACACCUGUCUACAACAAACUGUUGGUGAUCCGAUCAAAGUGAAAAUGCAGUUGAAUUGGAAACAAUUACCCAUGUAAAGACAUGUCAGAAUGUUUUUUAUUUUUUUAUUAAAUGGAACAAUUUAUUAAAAAUGUACUAACAUAAAGCAUUUAAAUAUUAGUAGCCACUCUCUGUAUCUUCUAAUAGUAUGUUUAAGUAAAAUUAUAUUUAAAUGCUUAGUUUUUUUAUCAAAGCUCUGUAGUUUUAUUUUUGGGGCAAAACAUAUAAUGCAAUGCAAUGCAAUAGAAUAAUUAUUGAGAAAUUAACUAAUAAAUAUUUAUCAAAAGACUUAUGUGUAAUAUUUGGUAUGCAUUUUAACUUUUUCAAAAAACAAAACAAAACAAAAAACUCAAAAUAUAAGUGCACCAUGACCUGAAGGUGGUCAUUUUUAUGAUUAUACUAAAAGGCCUGUAAAGUAUCAAUCAGAUGGCAGUAGGCAUGUAAUAGAUUGUGUACAACCGGUUUUUAAGCAAGGUUUUGUUUAAGUUCAUUUGAAAUUUGUGUAUCAAUUAUGAUACAGUAUGCUUUAGGGUUUAAGCUGCAUUAAUGCACUGAAAUUAAAUCAGAGUUGUCAGCAUGCCAGUAAUAGGGAAUAGAUGGGUUCUGUCUUUACCACAUUACUGCUACAUGAUCUUUAAUGUUUGUGUGAUGGUUCAAUAUAAGCACAGGGCACUGCCCUGGCACUUCAAGGGGGCUGUUUUUCAGUUUCAUUUUCCCUUUCCCUGUUAUAAGAUGUAACUUCUUGUCAAUAUACUUGGUCGUAUGUAUGAUAUGAUGAUACUAGUUUGUAACACACUGUAGUGAAUAUUUGUAUGGCACACCCAAGGUCUAGGUUUCACUUUUGUAUUCACUUACACAAAGUCACAUGUCAUAGCCUUGAAAUAGCCUUUGUGAUCCAAGACCAUGGAUUCAGUGAGGUAUGAGGAAAGUACCACGCAACCUAAGCUGCAUCCUCAUUGGCUGGGAUGUUCAUUUAUGAGGGAAACUCCCAUGGAUUUACCUGCUUUGAGCACUGCAAUCUCACCAUUCACUCUGAUGUAUUCUGCGACACAAGCAAGCUUUUUAUUUGAGUCAGGCGAGUG
rnacentral:lncRNA from 1 species